rnacentral:rRNA from 1 species
GACGAACGCUGGCGGCGUGCUUAACACAUGCAAGUCGAACGGAAAGGCCCCUUCGGGGGUCCUCGAGUGGCGAACGGGUGAGUAACACGUGAGUAACCUGCCCUUGACUUCGGGAUAACUUCAGGAAACUGGGGCUAAUACCGGAUAGGAAUCCUUGCUGCAUGGUGGGGGUUGGAAAGCUUCGGCGGUUUUGGAUGGACUCGCGGCUUAUCAGCUUGUUGGUGGGGUAGUGGCUUACCAAGGCUUUGACGGGUAGCCGGCCUGAGAGGGCGACCGGCCACAUUGGGACUGAGAUACGGCCCAGACUCCUACGGGAGGCAGCAGUGGGGAAGAUUGCACAAUGGGCGGAAGCCUGAUGCAGCAACGCCGCGUGCGGGAUGACGGCCUUCGGGUUGAAAACCGCUUUCAGCAGGGGCGAAGCUUGUGGUGACGGUACCUGCAGAAGAAGCACCGGCUAACUACGUG